GCAUUGGUGGUUCAGUAGUUGAAUUUUUGCCUUCCAUGCAAGAGACCAAGGUUCGAUUCCUGGCCAAUGCA
rnacentral:tRNA from 1 species